ensembl:snRNA LOC120102734 U1 spliceosomal RNA
AUACUUACCUGGCCAGGGAGGUAGUUUCCCAGGGUGAGGCUUAUCCAUUGCACCUUGAACGUUCUCCACAUUCUGAAAUCCCAACUGCAAAACUUGUGGUAGUCGGGAACUGAGUACUAUUUUCCUCCAGU